rnacentral:rRNA from 1 species
UGUGAUUGUGGGAAAGAUUCUAUCGGCGUGGGAUGGGGUCGCGUCCUAUCAGCUUGUUGGUGAGGUAACGGCUCACCAAGGCUUCGACGGGUAGCCGGCCUGAGAGGGCGACCGGCCACAUUGGGACUGAGAUACGGCCCAGACUCCUACGGGAGGCAGCAGUGGGGAAUAUUGCACAAUGGGCGCAAGCCUGAUGCAGCGACGCCGCGUGAGGGAUGGAGGCCUUCGGGUUGUAAACCUCUUUUGUUUGGGAGCAAGCCUUCGGGUGAGUGUACCUUUCGAAUAAGCGCCGGCUAACUACGUGCCAGCAGCCGCGGUAAUACGUAGGGCGCAAGCGUUAUCCGGAUUUAUUGGGCGUAAAGGGCUCGUAGGCGGCUCGUCGCGUCCGGUGUGAAAGUCCAUCGCUUAACGGUGGAUCUGCGCCGGGUACGGGCGGGCUGGAGUGCGGUAGGGGAGACUGGAAUUCCCGGUGUAACGGUGGAAUGUGUAGAUAUCGGGAAGAACACCGAUGGCGAAGGCAGGUCUCUGGGCCGUCACUGACGCUGAGGAGCGAAAGCGUGGGGAGCGAACAGGAUUAGAUACCCUGGUAGUCCACGCCGUAAACGGUGGACGCUGGAUGUGGGGCACGUUCCACGUGUUCCGUGUCGGAGCUAACGCGUUAAGCGUCCCGCCUGGGGAGUACGGCCGCAAGGCUAAAACUCAAAGAAAUUGACGGGGGCCCGCACAAGCGGCGGAGCAUGCGGAUUAAUUCGAUGCAACGCGAAGAACCUUACCUGGGCUUGACAUGUUCCCGACGACGC